rnacentral:lncRNA from 1 species
CCCAUCCCUGCUGCCCAUCCCUGCUGUCCCUCCCUGCUGCCCAUCCCUGCUGCCAUCCCUGGUGCCCAUCCCUGCUGCCCACCCUGGUGCCCAUCCCUUCUCCCAUCCCUUCUCCCAUCCCUUCUCCCAUCCCUGCUCCCAUCCCUGCUGCCCAUCCCUGCUGUCCAUCCCUGCUGUCCCUCCCUGCUGUCCCUCCCUGCUGUCCAUCCCUUCUCCCAUCCCUGCUGUCCAUCCCUGCUGUCCAUCCCUGCUGUCCAUCCCUGCUGCCAUCCCGGGAUGAGCCUGCAGGAUGGGGAAGGGAGGCUCCCCCAGCCUGGGCCAUGACCACCAGCCUUGAACAGACUCCGCUCCUCCAGGGCUGCUGUCCGGCCAAAACAAAGAUUCCUUCUACAUUUCCUAGCACAAAAAUUCAUUCCAAAUCUUAUUAACAGAGAUGAGAUGAAGGAGGAAACAGAGCUGAUGCCAUUCUGAAGGUGGCAUUGUCCUUAGUGCUGGGGAAACAGCAUCCAGGGACCUGCUCUGAAAGCCAACGCUGGGAUUCAGGGGGCUGACUCUCCCACUGGAUGAAUUUACUCUUCAGUGAUUUUUAAGUGGUUUUGCUGCUGAUUGGAAUUCUGUCCUGAGCUGUUGCAGCCUUGCUGGGCCACCCUGAGCUGCUGCUGGGGAAACAGGAGCCAGGCUGGCUGGGCUGAGCUCCCUGCCCACGCCGUGCUGGAGUGGGAAAUACAAACUAGCACGUGGAAAAGCAAAAUUACAUCUGCAAAACUGAUUUUUGAUGGCUGAAAUCCUUGGUCUGUCUCCAGAUUUCUGUCCCAUCUGGACAGAUCUGACAUCCAGAGCAGAGAAGCAGAGCACUGAUAAAAGGAGUCACUCCCGAUCGGCUCUGGCUGCACAGGAUCGGGAGCCCGGCAGGACAAACGCGGAGCUGUUGGGCCAGCGGGAUGCCAGGCUCCUGUGUCCGAACCCGCCCGGCUUUGAGCUGUGGACGUGUUCCUGCCUAACUCACAGCUGCCACGGAACUCUUUGGGAAGGCAGGGAUUGGAUGCUGAUCUUGGGCAAAAGCACUGUCAGAUCUAAAGGUGUGAUGCAGGAAAAAACAUUAAAAAAUAGGAACUGCUCAGAUACAGGAUUAGUGGAAAUCACUGGAAUGAAAAGGGCACCAGGAGACUGAUCAGUGAGCAGCCCUGAAUUGUGUGGGGUGACUCCAUAAUCCUUAUCUGGAGUCCAAGAUUAAAUUCUUUCAUAAUUAGGAUACUUGCCAGUCACUUUGGAGUUACAGAGCCCUGUCAGUGCAGUUUCCAGAUGAGGAAGUGGCACAGUCAGCCCUUGGAGGGGACAGGGAAUGCAGUGCACUGGGAAUCCCUCGGGGCUUAUGGCUUUGGGAAGUAAAAGCAUGACUGAUUUUUUUAUGUCCUGUUGCAUCACUCAGAAAGGUGCCUGGGGUUCUCUUUGUGCCAGCACACGGUGGUUGGGAGCACCAGGUUAACUUUUACACAGCAUCUCUCCCUUGGAUUUGAACAGGGAGUUUCAGGAAACAGCUGAGAACUGCUAGAAACUGGUCCUGUCCCAAAAAACUUACCUGUGGCUUUUGGAGAUUGUCAUCAAGCAGCUCCUUCCUCCUAUACCCUUUUACUUGAAAGUAGAUUUUGGAUUUGUGGAAGAAGAGCUCAGAGGAAAACCAAACUGGCUUUUCUCACUGGUUCUCUGAGCAGUCCAAGCAACCAGGAUCUCCCGAGAAGGUGGGGAGUGUGUGGGGCAGUGUUUGUGCUGCAGCAGUUAUUUCACUUCUGGGUUCAGUUCUUUGCCUCACUAUUCCUACCCUGUAGAGAUAAAGGAUGAGGGUAAUUUCUGAUUCCCAUGGCAGAAUAUUUUCCAUCUCUGGAAAGCUCCAGCCCAAUUAUUUGCCAAAAAAAAAAAAGGCAAAUAGAUCUUUGGAGUAAUAUUCCAACACAACACUCCAGACUCCACUAUUUAAGUCACCCACUUUCCAUUGGGUUUGAGGUCAGGAAAGGCACUUGGACACCUGGGGCAAGCACUGGUCCUUGCCCAAUGGCUUGGUAUGAGGUCAGUUUGUCCCUCUGUGACUCCUGAUCCUUUUCUGCAGUGGAUUCAAACACUGAUGAAGGCCUUGGGGCAAAAAGAGCCUGUGUUUGGUAAAUCUAUCUGUGAAC